rnacentral:rRNA from 1 species
CACGUAGGGUGCGAGCGUUGUCCGGAAUUAUUGGGCGUAAAGAGCUCGUGGGCGGUGUGUCGCGUCGGCCGUGAAAACCUGCAGCUUAACUGUGGGCUUGCGGUCGAUACGGGCAUCACUGGAGUUCGGCAGGGGAGACUGGAAUUCCUGGUGUAGCGGUGAAAUGCGCAGAUAUCAGGAGGAACACCGGUGGCGAAGGCGGGUCUCUGGGCCGAUACUGACGCUGAGGAGCGAAAGCGUGGGGAGCGAACAGG